rnacentral:lncRNA from 1 species
CGUCGCCGCCGGCGCCCCCGAAAGCAUGCGCGAGGCUCUGGCCAUCGGUCGAGGCACCGCCACCGGCGCCGCCACCGCCGACGGUACCGUGGCCGCCCGCGACGCCGUUUAUGCCGCCGUCAUUGUCGAUUGUGCCGUCGAGAUUGAGUGUGCCGCGCACAAAGACUCGAAAGCCGUUGGUGCGCAGGCGCGUACCUAUGGGCACGACCAGAUCCAGGUAGUGCGCGUCGGCCGUGAGGUCGACCGUGCCUGAGAUCGUGGUGCUCUGCGUCCCGGCGCCAAACAAGAGGCUGCCCAACGGACCCGCCGGCCCGGCCUCGCCUGGCGGUCCCUGGGGGCCUACCGUGCCUGCUGGGCCUUGUUCGCCAAGAGGUCCUGGCUCGCCCUCCGGACCAUCGUCGCCGCGUGGACCCGCAGGACCUUGUUGGCCAACACCGCCUGCCUCGCCUUGUGUUCCCGCCGGACCUGGGAGUCCGUCUGCACCUGGUGCGCCAUUUUGUCCUGCUGCGCCAGGUGGCCCAAUUGAUCCAGCCGGUCCAACCGUUCCCGAAUUGCCAGGCCGACCCACAGGACCUGGAGGACCUUGUCGACCUGCACGCACAGUCGCACGUCCAGGCAAGACCAACGGUGUUGCACAAACCGGCAUGGGGCGAGGCAGUCUCACAUAGACUUGCAUCACAUUUGCGUCGGCGACGCUGGUCGGUUGCACACGAGCCAUCGCACGCGCACGUGUGUGACUUUGUUCCCUUUUCUUUGUCGAUCCUUUUUCCUGGGCGCACCACUGUCUAGUCGCGCGAUCCUCCUUUUCGCUCAGACAACCAUCGCCCUGUUUUUCUUUUUUUUACCCAUUUUUUUCGUCCGUAUUUUUUGGCCAUGCAUUCUUGGACAUGACCAUACAUUUUUGCUGCAGGCGUCGGAACCCUGGGUUUUGAGGCGCCAGGUGUGCUGCCGGCGCUGCAGUCUUUCUUUUCAAAAAACAACCAGCCUGGUGGCGCCGAAUAAAGGUCCCGUGUGACAUUUUGUGGACCACUUUUGCUGGCGCCCCUACGCAAG